UUCUCAGAGAUUAAGCUAAAGGAUAUGCUAAGGCUAUGGAUCUGAGGAGCCAGAGAAGAGGUAGGACAAUGGUAUUUCCAUAGUGACGGAGAAAAGGGAAAAAUGUCAGAGAGAAAGAUGAAGAGUCCUACUCUGACCAUGCCACUUUUAAGCAGAUGGCUGAAACAUGGAGCAGCCAUUUUGCUCUCCGCAUCUUCCUUAUAUCUCCCUAGGAGAUGGUUAUUACUGACUGAGUGAGUCCAAAGAGGAGGAUUUGUUACAAGAGAACUAUUAGUACAGAAUGAUUGAAGAUGCCUCUCAAGAAUGAAUUGACAUGUUGGAUGGAUCAACACAAGACUGAAGUUUCAAACCAUCUCUUAUGCUGGGCAUUCUUAACUGACUACAAGUUUAUAACUUUCUGAUAAAGAAAUGGAUUUGAGAAUGCAAAUGAAACUACAGGUGUGUUAUAAAAUUCUAUACUACUGUGGUAAGAAAAAGGACUGAUUC